rnacentral:rRNA from 1 species
UUCAUGAAGCUGGAAUUGCUAGUAAUGGCAGGUCAGCAUACUGCCGUGAAUACGUUCCCGGGCCUUGUACACACCGCCCGUCACACCAUGAGAGUUGGAAAUACCCGAAGCCUGUGAGCUAACAAACGAGGCAGCAGUCGAAGGUAGAGCCAAUGAUUGGGGUGAAGUCGUAACAAGGUAUC